rnacentral:rRNA from 1 species
AGGACGAACGCUGGCGGCGUGCUUAACACAUGCAAGUCGAGCGGAAAGGCCCUUCGGGGUACUCGAGCGGCGAACGGGUGAGUAACACGUGAGCAACCUUGCCCUUAGCUCUGGGAUAGCUCCGGGAAACCGGAAAUUAAUACCGGAUAUUACACCGGCUGGCAUCGGCUGGUGUGGAAAGAUUUAUCGGCUAAGGAUGGACUCGCGGCCUAUCAGCUUGUUGGUGGGGUAGAAGCCUACCAAGGCGACGACGGGUA